CCCAGACUGUGUGAGCUGCAGAAUGGGGAGGGGCCUGUCCAGGAGAAUCAAGUCCAGAGGGAAACCAGUUACCUAGUGCUUCAGCAGUAAAGAACCUGCCUACAACGUAGGAGGCAGGAGUUCGAUCCCUGGGUUGGGAAGAUCCCCUGAAGAAGGAAAUGGCAACCCACUCCAGUAUUCUUGCCUGGGAAACCCCAUAGACAGAGGAGUUUGGCAAGCUACAGUCUGCAGGGUGGCAAAGAGUGACGCGACCAAGUGGCUGAGCAUGCACACACACACCCUAGAGGCAUGCUGUGAGUGCCUGAGAAGUGUCUGCACGGAUAUCUGAGUCAUGGAGGAGGUCUCACCAAGGCACGGCCCUCCCCAAGGACCCCUCAAGGAGAUGAAGGUCCCCCACCUCAGCCGCAGGAGGUGGCAGCAGUCAGGGUGAGAGGACUGUCCCCCAGUACAGGACCUGGAAGGAAGGGGCUGUGGCUGCCCUCUCCUCUCCUAGGACGCACCCCAUGAUUGCCCCCCAAACCCUGGCAAAGCCACGCCCCUCCGCCCCCGCUGACCAGGCUCCCUGCAUGCCGGCCUUGCCAGGGGAGGAGGCUCCAGGGUCAAUUCGGAAUUCUGGGGGGUGGUCCCUGUUCACGGAGGUGUUGCCUUCCUCCAACUGCCCAUCCAUAAAGGACGUUUGUGCCCGGGCAACACCGCCCACCUGGGGCUGGGGGGCAGGCGCUGCUGCGAACACAGCGCCACAGUGAAAGCGGGACAAACGCGCCUGUGUCCGCCCUGGCCGAGGUGCCGGAGGAAGCGCGGUCCGGCCGAAGUGUUAAUGGGCCUCCUUCCUGCCCUGCCCAAGCCAGCUCCCCGGGUGCUCAUCCCCUCUCCCCCAAACGCCUGCUUCCGCUCAAGGCCCGGCACGCCCCCUCCCCGUCCCUGGCCACAGCUCUGUCCUGCUUUGACAAACAUCCCUCUCAGCCUUUUGAGUUUAUGGCUUUUUCGUGUGCCUUCCCUUCAAGUGGUCGGAAACCGAGGCGCUGGCCCCCAGAGUAGAGGCCAGGCCUGGGGUGGAGGGGAGACUGGAAUCCCGCCUCAGGUAGAUAAGGGCCAGGCAGGGAACAGUGCAGGAAGGGCACGCUGCCAGCUCUGUCCCCAGGGGGACAGGUGGGGGAAGCCCAGGAGACCAUUCUUAAAGGGGUCAGCACCAGCCCACGUGAUGGCCGGCAGCCAUUGCAAGAAGGCAGGCAGGGGUACUUGUGGAUUUGUUUUUGUUUUAAAAUGAAGUAUUUAUUAAGCAUUGACUCGGCCUUGUGCCAAGUCCAUGAAUUUAUUAUCUCAUUGAAUCCUCAAGAAAAGUCAACAUGACCAUGACUCUCAUUUUUACAGAUGAUAAAACUGGGGCCCACAGAGGUUAAGUACCAUGCACCCAGGUCACAGCUUAUUGGUAGCAGAGCAAGGAUUCAAGCCCAAGCAGUGUCCAAGCCCAGGCAGCAACCAUGUGUUGGAGAAAAGCCACCACACUAUUUGCAUUUUUGUCAGUCACUCCUGAGCUUUUGUAUCAUCUGGGCCUGAGAUUGACUGUUAGGGUGUCCCUGAGUCCCUGGGUCAGCCCCAGGAGGGCCAAGGAGGAACCAGUCAUUCCCCAGGCUCCCGGUGCCCUCAGAGACUAGGGGGUACCAUGGGAGCUUCAAGAUCCCUUAGGUAUUGGCACCAUCUACAAGUUGACAUCUUCCCAUAAGGAGACAUAUUUUCAAAUGUAUGUAGAAACUGUUGAAUAAAACCCAUACUCAUUUAGAAGUGUUAAUGAAUGCAUAUUUGUUUAUGAUCAUUUGUAUUUUUUCUCAAUCAAAGGAUUUUUUAAAGUAUGACUGCUAUCACGUGAAGCAGGGAGCCCGUCUGCAAAAUGUUUCAAUUCUCUAAGAGUGUUUAUUUAAAAAAAAAAAAAAGGUUCAGAAACCACUUUACAGACUAAGACACCCAUGCCCUGAGAGGUAGCACUUCCUGGCCAAGUUUCAGACCAAACAGGGGACCCAGAGAGGGUACUAGAAGUGGGGCGGGGCUCCCUUUCUAUCUGGUCAGGGCAGCCCCCAAGAACUCAUCGCAGAAGGGAGCCUGCUUAGGGUUUCAGGGGUAGACUCUGGGGAAUACAACCCAGUGGGGCUUGGAGCUUGAGGGACAAAGGGGCUAGGAGAAAUUCGGGGGCUUCACUGUCUCCCAGAGGGUGGGGACAAUUCUAGGACCCAAGAGUACCAGCCUUACCUGUUGUUUCUUCUAGGAGCCUUUUCCUAAGGCCGGCAUUGUAGGUCCUUCAUUUGU